rnacentral:rRNA from 1 species
UUAGUGGCGAACGGGUGAGUAACGCGUGAGGAACCUGCCUUUCAGUGGGGGACAACAGUUGGAAACGACUGCUAAUACCGCAUAACAUACAUUGACCGCAUGAUUGAUGUAUCAAAGCUUUAUGUGCUGAAAGAUGGGCUCGCGUCUGAUUAGAUAGUUGGUGAGGUAACGGCUCACCAAGUCGACGAUCAGUAGCCGGCCUGAGAGGGCGGACGGCCACAUUGGGACUGAGACACGGCCCAGACUCCUACGGGAGGCAGCAGUGGGGGAUAUUGCACAAUGGGCGCAAGCCUGAUGCAGCGACGCCGCGUGAGUGAAGAAGUAUUUCGGUAUGUAAAGCUCUAUCAGCAGGGAAGAAAGGCCCUUCGGGGAGAUGACGGUACCUGACUAAGAAGCCCCGGCUAACUACGUGCCAGCAGCCGCGGUAAUACGUAGGGGGCAAGCGUUAUCCGGAUUUACUGGGUGUAAAGGGAGCGCAGACGGAACUGCAAGUCUGAUGUGAAAGCCCGGGGCUCAACCGCGGGACUGCAUCGGAUACUGUAGAUCUGGAGUGCCGGAGGGGCAAGCGGAAUUCCUGGUGUAGCGGUGAAAUGCGUAGAUAUCAGGAGGAACACCGGCGGCGAAGGCGGCUUGCUGGACGGCAACUGACGUUGAGGCUCGAAAGCGUGGGGAGCAAACAGGAUUAGAUACCCUGGUAGUCCACGCAGUAAACGAUGAGGCACUAGGGGGGCGGGCCGGUUAAGGGCAGCGUGCCACAGCGAAAGCGUUAAGUGCUCCACCUGGGGAGUACGCCGGCACCGGUGAAACUCAAAGGAAAUUGACGGGGGGCCCGCACAAGCGGAGGAACAUGUGGUUUAAUUCGAUGAUACGCGAGGAACCUUACCCGGGCUCGAACGGCGGGGGACGGGCACUGAAAAGUGCCUUCACGCGAGUGUCCCCGCCGAGGUGCUGCAUGGUUGUCGUCAGCUCGUGCCGUGAGGUGUCGGCUUAAGUGCCAUAACGAGCGCAACCCCCGCCGGCAGUUGCUAACGGGCAAUGCCGAGGACUCUGCCGGGACUGCCGGCGCAAGCCGCGAGGAAGGCGGGGAUGACGUCAAAUCAGCACGGCCCUUACGUCCGGGGCGACACACGUGUUACAAUGGCGGGUACAGCGGGAAGCGACCGUGCGAGCGGGAGCGGAGCCCGAAAACCCGUCUCAGUUCGGAUCGGAGUCUGCAACCCGACUCCGUGAAGCUGGAUUCGCUAGUAAUCGCGGAUCAGAAUGCCGCGGUGAAUACGUUCCCGGGCCUUGCACUCACCGCCCGUCA